UACAGAGGUCCCAAGCGUUGUUCGGAUUCAUUGGGCGUAAAGGGUGCGUAGGCGGCGCGGUAAGUCGGGUGUGAAAUCUCGGAGCUUAACUCCGAAACUGCAUUCGAUACUGCCGUGCUUGAGGACUGGAGAGGAGACUGGAAUUUACGGUGUAGCGGUGAAAUGCGUAGAUAUCGAGAGGAACACCUGCGGCGAAGGCGGGUUGCUGGGCCGACACUGACGCUGAUGCGCGAAAGCUAGGGGAGCGAACGGG
rnacentral:rRNA from 1 species